rnacentral:rRNA from 1 species
UACGUAGGGUCCGAGCGUUGUCCGGAAUUACUGGGCGUAAAGAGCUCGUAGGUGGUUUGUCGCGUUGUUCGUGAAAACUCACAGCUCAACUGUGGGCGUGCGGGCGAUACGGGCAGACUUGAGUACUGCAGGGGAGACUGGAAUUCCUGGUGUAGCGGUGAAAUGCGUAGAUAUCUGGAGGAACACCGGUGGCGAAGGCGGCAUCCUGGACCGACACUGACGCUGAGGAGCGAAAGCCAGGGGAGCAAACGGG